rnacentral:rRNA from 1 species
UACGGAGGGGGCUAGCGUUGUUCGGAAUUACUGGGCGUAAAGCGCGCGUAGGCGGCUUCGCAAGUCAGAGGUGAAAGCCCCGGGGCUCAACCCCGGGAUGCCGCCCAAGACUGGUCUCCUUGAGGACGGAAGAGGGGAGUGGAAUUCCCGGUGUAGUGGUGAAAUGCGUAGAUAUCGGGAGGAACACCAGUGGCGAAGGCGACUUCCUGGACCUGUUCUUGACGCUGAGGCGCGAAAGCCAGGGGAGCAAACGGG